rnacentral:rRNA from 1 species
CCAGACUCCUACGGGAGGCAGCAGUGGGGAAUAUUGGGCAAUGGGCGCAAGCCUGACCCAGCAACGCCGCGUGAAGGAAGAAGGCUUUCGGGUUGUAAACUUCUUUUGUCAGGGACGAAGCAAGUGACGGUACCUGACGAAUAAGCCACGGCUAACUACGUGCCAGCAGCCGCGGUAAUACGUAGGUGGCAAGCGUUAUCCGGAUUUACUGGGUGUAAAGGGCGUGUAGGCGGGACUGCAAGUCAGAUGUGAAAACCACGGGCUCAACCUGUAGCCUGCAUUUGAAACUGUAGUUCUUGAGUACUGGAGAGGCAGACGGAAUUCCUAGUGUAGCGGUGAAAUGCGUAGAUAUUAGGAGGAACACCAGUGGCGAAGGCGGUCUGCUGGACAGAAACUGACGCUGAGGCGCGAAAGCGUGGGGAGCAAACAGGAUUAGAUACCCCGGUA